GUUUUGUAACGAUUCGUAUUUUCAUGUCAUCAAAAAAUCAUAUUCCUUGAAUACAUUUUAAACUAUUUAUACUAAUACUAAUUAUACUAAUGUUUUGGCUCUAUAAACACACUGUUGCUAGGCACGGUGUGCUAAUGUAAAAAGUACCUAACUGUCAUGAUUCAUGAUUCAACUUAAAUGUCAGCUUUAAAAUAAAAAUAACAAUAACUCAGCUUAAAUAUCUUACAUAUUGUUUGCGAUUAUGUGCUACAUUGUUUAAUUUUUGAAAGCGAACAGUGAAUUGGCAAAAAUGACAUAAUCGGGGUACUAUCAGUGACGGAGCUACUUUAGCGGUAGCCAGCGGUGGGCGUGGCCACCAUCGGUCCGUAUCCGGCCGUCUUACUGGCCAUCCAGACAACACAGAUAUCAACUUAUUGCCACCUCUACGUGUAUCACUUCUCAAGGAGUUCAAGACAACAAUGAAAGAGGAGUUCAAGACAACAAUGGAUGAGGCAAAUGCAGCAAGUGAGAGACAGAUGGACGCCCACCUCGAGUUCUGUCCUUUGCAGUGAUCAUUUCACUGAUGGCUGCUUUGAAUGAACACUUUGAAAUGUUCAUUUCCAUGUCUUAAAGCGGAAAUCCGCGUUCUUCAAGUUCUCUAUUUCAACUCAAACUCAAAAUCGCUGAAAUCUUCGCUAUAGUCACUGUAAACAUUGUCUCUCGUACACCAUAUGUACGCCAUGUUUGUUUACAAAUUUACCAUUCACUUUCCAAAAUACCAAUACAUAAACAACACAUAACACAUUUAAAGCAACAGUGACGGUGGUGUAAAGUGGUGGCACAUGUAAUGAUUGACAUGAGCAAUUUAACAGUCAUUAUGCGUGUAAUGAUUGACAAGUAAACCCACCAACAACCUGUGGGAAUUUGGAAUGGGCCUGCUAUCACUUGCUAACUAACCCCUGACCCAAAUCCUCUUGUGCUGCUGGAAUACUGCACUGAUGUUGUGCUGAUGUUCUUGGGCGUGGUUACUGCUGAGAGUACUUAUUUAUCUGCAAACAUGAGCAACCUGGUGUUUGUGUAGAUGCUACACUGGUGUCAAAAGUGGGAUGGUGGUGCAGCCAGGUAAAUGCGGCCUCCACAGGGACAGCU